GAUGAAGAACGCAGCGAAAUGCGAUAAGUAAUGUGAAUUGCAGAAUUCAGUGAAUCAUCGAGUCUUUGAACGCGCAUUGCGCCCCCUGGCAUUCCGGGGGGCAUGCCUGUCCGAGCGUCAUUGCUGCCCUUCAAGCCCGGCUUGUGUGUUGGGUCGUCGUCCCCCCCGGGGGACGGGCCCGAAAGGCAGCGGCGGCACCGCGUCCGGUCCUCGAGCGUAUGGGGCUUUGUCACCCGCUCGAUUAGGGCCGGCCGGGCGCCAGCCGGCGUCUCCAACCUUCUAUUUUACCAGGUUGACCUCGGAUCAGGUAGGGAUACCCGCUGAACUUAAGCAUAUCAAUAAGCGGAGGA
rnacentral:misc_RNA from 1 species